GUAUUGUGUACUGAGAUCAGACUUCAGGGAUGAAGCAGCUGUAUGUUCUCAUGUCCUGGACACUACCACGUUGAUGGCUGUCUAAAUCCAGGAGCACGUGGCAAAGACUGGUCCUCACUGAUAGUGUGUGGAAGAUAG
rnacentral:sRNA from 1 species